CUGCUGCCUUCCGUAGGAGUCUGGGCCGUGUCUCAGUCCCAAUGUGGCCGUUCAACCUCUCAGUCCGGCUACCGAUCGUUGACUAGGUGGGCCGUUACCCCGCCUACUAUCUAAUCGGCCGCGAGCCCAUCUUUCAGCAGAUUUCUCUUUUGGUUGUAAAUGGAUGCCCUUUUACAACGUUAUGCGGUAUUAGCAGUCGUUUCCAACUGUUAUCCCCCUCUGAAAGGUAGGUUGCUCACGUGUUACUCACCCGUCCGCCACUAAACCAUA
rnacentral:rRNA from 1 species